UGCGUAGGCGGGCUAAUAAGUCAGUGGUGAAAUCUUCCGGCUCAACCGGGAACCUGCCAUUGAUACUGUUAGUCUUGAGUUCGGCUGAGGUAGGCGGAAUGUGUAAUGUAGCGGUGAAAUGCUUAGAUAUUACACAGAACACCAAUUGCGUAGGCAGCUUACUAGACCGACACUGACGCUGGGGCACGAAAGCGUGGGGAGCGAACAGGAUUAGAUACCCUGGUAGUCG
rnacentral:rRNA from 1 species